AUUGAACGCUGGCGGCAUGCUUUACACAUGCAAGUCGAACGGUAACAGGCCGCAAGGUGCUGACGAGUGGCGAACGGGUGAGUAAUGCAUCGGAACGUGCCCAGUCGUGGGGGAUAACGCAGCGAAAGCUGUGCUAAUACCGCAUACGAUCUAUGGAUGAAAGCGGGGGACCGUAAGGCCUCGCGCGAUUGGAGCGGCCGAUGUCAGAAUAGCUAGUUGGUGGGGUAAAGGCCCACCAAGGCGACGAUCUGUAGCUGGUCGGAGAGGACGACCAGCCACACUGGGACUGAGACACGGCCCAGACUCCUACGGGAGGCAGCAGUGGGGAAUUUUGGACAAUGGGCGCAAGCCUGAUCCAGCAAUGCCGCGUGCAGGAAGAAGGCCUUCGGGUUGUAAACUGCUUUUGUACGGAACGAAACGGUCUGGGUUAAUACCCUGGGCUAAUGACGGUACCGUAAGAAUAAGCACCGGCUAACUACGUGCCAGCCGCCGCAGUAAUAC
rnacentral:rRNA from 1 species